rnacentral:rRNA from 1 species
GUAGGUGGCAAGCGUUGUCCGUAAUUAUUGGGCGUAAAGCGCGCGCAGGCGGUUCUUUAAGUCUGAUGUGAAAGCCCACGGCUCAACCGUGGAGGGUCAUUGGAAACUGGAGAACUUGAGUACAGAAGAGGAAAGCGGAAUUCCACGUGUAGCGGUGAAAUGCGUAGAGAUGUGGAGGAACACCAGUGGCGAAGGCGGCUUUCUGGUCUGUAACUGACGCUGAGGCGCGAAAGCGUGGGGAGCAAACAGGAUUAGAUACCCUGGUAGUCCACGCCGUAAACGAUGAGUGCUAAGUGUUAGGGGGUUUCCGCCCCCCUUAGUGCUGCAGCUAACGCAUUAAGCACUCCGCCUGGGAGUACGGCCGCAAGGCUG